rnacentral:misc_RNA from 1 species
UAUAGAUAUAAUAUAGAUAAGGAAUUGUAGACGAUCUAUCAGCGUAGAAUUUUGCUAGAAAUUAACCAGUGGUAACAAAGGCACUCAGAGAAUCACAUCGUUUGUAAGGUAUUUACCUUAUUCAAACUCGAAAAUGACAUUCCGAAAAUUAGCCAGUACUUGAAGCAAUUCACGGCGUUAUCAGCGUAACAAUUUUGGAAGCCAUUUAUCCUUUGUACUUUAGGUGGUAUCCAAGUGUUGUUAUGCUCGAGUGAAAGUGACCACCAUGAAUGACAAUUAUUUAAAAUCAUACCCCGGCAAAGGACUCAAUGAAACAUUAUCGCAAGAUUAUCCCAUUUUAUUGUGAAUUUUAACGUUGCUACAUUGCCUCCAAAACACAUCGUAAUAUUGAUUUGUAAUUUGAUUACAGAAUUUAAGCUUUCGUAUGCAAAUUACUGAUCUCAAAUAGACAAAUCAUUUUCAACUAUUAGCUGAUAUUAUAAAUACGUCAGCUUCUGGUAUUUUCUUUCGCUUCUGCUCGAAGCGUAGUUCAGUUAAAACAUGGUGAACAGGACGGAGAUCAUUCCGGUUGGAUAAGUAGGUUUUUAAUGCGCAAAGAUGAAAGAUAGAUUACAACAUUUUUGCGAUGAGUCCUUUUAUCAUUUACAUGACAAUUUUUCUGAUUGUCUUUCAUCACAGUAGGAUUGUGUCCAAUAGUUCGGUAUUGCGGGAGAAAGUUAUGGUAAAAGAAAAAAGUUUGUUGCAAAAAUUUUUCGAAGAAUUGGCAGACCUCGAAACGCGUGAGAUAAUGUUCUUGGGAGGGUCUUCGGAUGACGUACUUAUGUUAAAACCGCUGAUGGAAAAUUGUCCUUUCUUCAUUGGUACCGACUCGCGGAAGAUCACAAAUUCUGAAAAAUUUUCCGCAGAGAGUUGGGUCUUUUAUUUCAUCGCCAGUGUAGACAAAAAUUAUAUGAAAAAUGUAUUCGACGGUCUAUGGAACUGCAAUAGAACAAACUUCUGCUUUAUACACGAGAAAGAAGUAACAGAAAAAGAAAUGCAAGUUACUUUGAAGGAUACCUCUAGCCGUAACAUCGGUGCGGUCACGUUUGCCCACCACUACAAAGAGUCUUUAAAAUUUUACGCCACAGCAAUGUCGGCCGACGACUGCAGAAUCCAUGUUCGAACUGUCCUGGAUUGGUCACCUGGAAUCCCGAUAUCAAAUCUAACAGAUUUUUAUAUCGAGGUCCAGACUUUUCAAGGGUGUCCAAUGUACGUGGGAACGCAACACUCUCCUCCGCAAAUGUUGCUCGGAGAGGGUCAUGACGGUAGAAGAAGAAUAAUCGGUGGGUCAGAGGGUAGAAUGAUGCAGGCUCUCGGUGAAAAGUUAAACUUUGAACCUGCAAUACAAAACUUUGAAUCCUUCGAUCAACUUCAUGAUGCGACCAAUAGAAUGGUCGUGAAUCAGAUUCGAGCAAUUGCUGCUUUUAAUAAUUCCUUCGACAUGUCUUCAAUGUACAGCCAACAGUGCGUUGUGUGGUGCGUUCCAAGAAUUCGAAAAUGGAGAUUUGAAAUUAUCUUCGGUGAAUUUUCAUACGGAUGUUGGUUUUUGAUUGGAACAACAUUCGUCGUUCUAUUCACAGUCGCCGGCGUGAUUCAGCAUCCGUUUUUUUCAAAAAGACUUGGAUUCGAAAGAAAUAUAUCACAGAUCUGCACGAUGAUUAUGGAGAUCUUCUCAAUGAGUCUCGGUAACGUAAUAUCAUGGCGACCAACGUCGGAUCGGUUGAGAAUUUUACUUGCAAUGUGCUUGUGCUAUUUUUUGGUAACAGCUACGGCGUACAAAAGUUCCUUGGCUUCGAUAUUAUCUGCGGAAGAUGAUAAGCCUUCAAUCAUUGAUGCUGAGGGAAUCAUACGCGCAAAUUUAUCAACAGGUGGUGACGCUGCGAGUUUUCAUCUCCUAAUAGAUCAGAUCGAGGAGAGUAAAAUUACAGAGGAACUCGUACGACGAUAUACGAUUUUAAACGACAGCUUGGCUGCCCUUCGUAGAGUGUCGAACGUCAAGGAUAUCGCGUAUCUAAUUUCAAAAGCGGAUUUACAGUACAGUGCGGCAAUGUUGAGGAUAAAUAAUGAAGGACCAUUGUCGAUUGAUGUCAUUGACGAAUGCGUUCUCGCUUAUGGUACCGUUAUUGUGCUGUCAAAGGGAUCUCGACUUCUUAGAUCGAUAGAUCAAAUCCUUACACGAUUCAAGGAAGCAGGACUUUUAAUGCGAUGGAAGUCAGAAGAUCUUAAUGGUACCGGAAAUAUUAACACUGGUCUAAUUGUAGAAAAUACAAAUCAUGGAAUGUCAGGGCAAAAUUUCUACCAAAUACUUGUCAUCUGUACUGUUCCAUUGGGUAUUUCUGUUCUCACUUUUUUUGGGGAAAUUAUUUUUUACUGGUUUUAUUCUCCGGAUUCUAAUGCAAUAAUGGCAAUUAACGUCUAAUCGACGAUUACGUCCUCGACGUAUUAUUAAAAGUAAUACCGAAUGAUUAUGAUAGUAAAUUAAAUGUGGCGUGUACUGUGUGUUUAUGUAGAUUCGCUAUGACGUUAUUAGCCAGCGGUAUUGUAAUCAUCUUGUCUCUGUUAAGUACGACAACUAUUAAUUGCAUAAAUAUAUGAAGCAAUUAGCAAUUUCUUAUGCAAAUAUAUCAAUAUAAAUAUUCAUAGUAACGAACAUUUCCUAAUGAUAAUUGCAUCAAUAUCCUUGACGCCGCUUGCUUCCGAGAUGUGCAACGUACAAUACACCAGUUUAUAGCAUCUAACGAUUCAUAGACAUCUCACUCGAGAUCACUAGUUUAUCUGCGCUACAUACUGCGCCCAGACUUCGACGACACCUCAUCAGCUAGGUGCAGGAGUACAUCAAUAAGUUGUCCUGAUUCGAAUCAGG